rnacentral:tRNA from 1 species
GUGGUCAUGGUGUAACGGUUUGCAUAGGAGUCUGUGAAUCUCCUGGUACGGGUUCGAUCCCCGUUGACCACC